rnacentral:rRNA from 1 species
UACGAAGGGUGCAAGCGUUAAUCGGAAUUACUGGGCGUAAAGCGUGCGUAGGCGGUUUCUUAAGUCUGCUGUGAAAGCCCGGGCUCAACCUGGGAAUGGCGGUGGAUACUGAGAAGCUGGAGUACGGUAGAGGAGAGUGGAAUUCCCGGGUGUAGCAGUGAAAUGCGUAGAGAUCGGGAGGAACAUCAGUUGCGAAGGCGGCUCUCUGGACCAGCACUGACACUGAGGCACGAAAGCGUGGGGAGCAACAGG